AAGACUAUAGACCUGCGGAGUACCUGCGGAAGGAUCAUUACUGAGUUUCACAACUCUCUAACCCUGUGUGAACUGAAGUCUGGUUGCUCAGGCAGGCGGCCCCCGGGGGGAGCCGCAGCUUCUCUGAAGCGCCUGCCGGAGGAUACCUAAACUCGUUUUAACAUAUAAUCUUCUGAGUAAUAAAAAAAAUGAAUCAAAACUUUCAACAACGGAUCUCU
rnacentral:misc_RNA from 1 species